UUAAUUGAACUGUUGGAGUAUCCUGGAUGAUUAACCAGAUUCUUGAUGUUGUAUAUAUUUAUUAAUAAAAGUAGACAUUAAUUGAUGACAUAAAUUAUUGUCUCAAAUAACUAGAUUAAUUAAUUUAACUUUGAUUUAUAAGAGUAAAAAUGGUCAACUAAGAUUCCAGCCAUAUGUGGCUCUCUCCCUUCUAGCCAGUGAUGCUUAAGCCUGUUACAAGCCAUAAAUUAUUGUUUUUGGCUUUCAUGCAGCCUCACAUAAAAGUUAAAUAAGGUGUAAGGAAAAAUAAUAACAUUUUUAAUGUAAUAAUCAAGAUUUGUUAUUAUUAUGUUAACCGAAAUUAAUUGUUUAACCUUAAAAUUAUUUGUUGUGUGAAUUAAAAAUCAAUAUUAAUUUAAAAUUCAUUGCCAACUCUUUUCAACUGUGUAGGCCUAAAGUUACAAGCCGCAGUUACAAGCUAAAAUGUUUCCAACACAUGUUUGAUUAAUGUUACUCCACUGUUGAGGACAGUUAAAUAAGUUAAUCAAUGUAAAUGCGAUUCAACUCAAUCUAGUAAAUUCAAGCAAACUAUAGCGUCUUGUCACCUCAAACCUCCAAUGAUGAUUCUGAUAAUUUAAUUUACUGUUUCAUUUGGUUCAUCAAGGAUUUAAACUUGAAAUCUGAUGUACAAUUGGUUUACUAUAAAAGGCUUAUGUGGUGUUGGUUGCCAUCUGAUCAUAUUAUAAAACUAUCAUCAUCCCCAAGAAAUUGUUAUGAUUCAUUAUAACCAUUAGA